rnacentral:rRNA from 1 species
UACGUAGGGUGCGAGCGUUGUCCGGAUUUAUUGGGCGUAAAGAGCUCGUAGGCGGCUUGUCGCGUCGGAUGUGAAAGCCCGGGGCUUAACUCCGGGUCUGCAUUCGAUACGGGCAGGCUAGAGUGUGGUAGGGGAGAUCGGAAUUCCUGGUGUAGCGGUGAAAUGCGCAGAUAUCAGGAGGAACACCGGUGGCGAAGGCGAGUCUCUGGACAUUUCCUGACGCUGAGGCACGAAAGCCAGGGGAGCAAACGGG